rnacentral:SRP_RNA from 1 species
GCCAGGCGUGGUGGCCCAUGCCUGUAGUCCCAGCUACUCGGGAGGCUGAGGCGGGGGAAUUGCUUGAAUCCAGGAGGCAGAGGUUGCAGUGAGCCGAGAUCGCGCCACUGCACUCCAGCCUGGGUGACAGAGCGAGACUCCAUCUCAA